UAUGCACUCCGAAGGAGGAUGGUGGUAUGUAACUUAGAAGUUUCAAACAAAGGUCUAUAAUUUGGGCACUAUGAGAGUCUCUACCCUUGUUUGAAACUUCUAUGUUACAUACCACCAUCCUCCUUCGGAGUGAAUA
rnacentral:pre_miRNA from 1 species